CUGUAGUCGUUGUUCAGCUCAAGUGGCCUUUGGUAUAUACGAAAAAACUAGCUAUAACCCUUAAUUCUUUUAUUUUAUUUGUGUGUCAGUAAUCUUGGGGAAUAUGGUGAUAUUUAAGUGGAAAUCAAGUUGAUAUCUUCUGUUUUGAUCCUUCCAGGAGAAUUUUGGAAAAUAUGCUAUAAUGGAAGCCAGAAAUCCAACAUGCUGGACACGACAGCUCCAGGCUAACUCAGAGGGAGAUGGAAAACUGGAAAAAAAACCUGGUAUUUACAAACAUUCAUUGAUUUUUCAUGACUUUAUUGAAGCAAGGUAUAUUCUCCAGCUCUUGAGAAUUUUUGGAUACUGAUACAUCAGCUGUUAUAUGGAUUCAAAGUAUGGAAGCUACUGUAUGGAGUCUACACAGAAUUAGCAAGCAGCUGCUAAUUUGAAAUCUCGACUGUAAACACCCUCGUCACUGCUACUCAUUGUUGUCUGCCCUAACCUAACUCUUUAAUUGACUUUCCAAUUAUGCAAGAGGAAAAAUAAAGUCUGUCAAACCUUCAACCUCACAAGAUUAAGCCGAGCCGGUGCGUGGAUGAUAUUACUGGGCAGAAAUUCGUUCAAGGCCCCAAUGAAAGGCUUAGAAGUGAUUGAUUCGUGUGGAUGGCUGUAACCUGGGCCACUUUCAGUAAUAGAAUCCAGGAAGAGAACUGUCGAAGAGGUAUAUAGGUCUUUUUAAGUGUAGGAUUUUUCGGUGGAAGCUUCGUAUAUUCUACAGCACUGUUGAUUUUAUUCAUACACUGGUGAGUUUUAUUUGUGUGGGGUUGACUGAUGUACUUCAAUGCAGUUCUAGUUAAGUAUUCAUGUUUUUGCUGGUCUAGUUAGGUACAUAUUCCUGUUAGCAUUAGUUGAGUACAUAUUCUUGUUAGCAUUAGUUGAGUACAUAUUCUUGUUAGCAUUAGUUGAGUACAUAUUCUUGAUAGCAUUAGUUGAGUACAUAUUCUUGUUAUAGCAUAGAUAGAUACGUAACUUUGAUAGUAUAGUUAAGUUCAUACUCUUGAUAGCACCUUUGGUGCAUAUUCUUGUUAGCCUAGUUAAGUACAUACUCUUUA